AGUAGUUUGAUCAUGGCUCAGGACGAACGCUGGCGGCGUGCUUAACACAUGCAAGUCGAACGGAAAGGCCCCCUUGUGGGGUACUCGAGUGGCGAACGGGUGAGUAACACGUGAGUAACCUACCCUUGACUUUGGGAUAACUUCAGGAAACUGGGGCUAAUACCGGAUAGGAGCUCCUGCUGCAUGGUGGGGGUUGGAAAGUUUCGGCGGUUGGGGAUGGACUCGCGGCUUAUCAGCUUGUUGGUGGGGUAGUGGCUCACCAAGGCUUUGACGGGUAGCCGGCCUGAGAGGGUGACCGGCCACAUUGGGACUGAGAUACGGCCCAGUCUCCUACGGGAGGCAGCAGUGGGGAAUAUUGCACAAUGGGCGGAAGCCUGAUGCAGCAACGCCGCGUGCGGGAUGACGGCCUUCGGGUUGUAAACCGCUUUCGCCUGUGACGAAGCGUGAGUGACGGUAAUGGGUAAAGAAGCACCGGCUAACUACGUG
rnacentral:rRNA from 1 species